rnacentral:rRNA from 1 species
UACAGAGGGUGCGAGCGUUAAUCGGAAUUACUGGGCGUAAAGCGUGCGUAGACGGUUAUUUAAGUCGGGCGUGAAAGCCCCGGGCUCAACCUGGGAAUUGCAUUCGAGACUGAAUAGCUAGGGUACGGUAGAGGGAAGUGGAAUUUCCGGUGUAGCGGUGAAAUGCGUAGAUAUCGGAAGGAACAUCAGUGGCGAAAGCGACUUCCUGGACCAGUACCGACGUUCAGGCACGAAAGCGUGGGGAGCAAACAGG